AUAUAUUGUAAGGGUUAAUCUGAAUUGUCAACUUGAUUGGAAUUAGAGAUGCCAAGAUCUAAGAGGCUUCUGGAUGUGCCAAUGAGGGUGAGUCUAGGAGUGAUUGGCAUGUGGGACAGCCAACUGAUAUGGAGACCCUCCCUAAGUGUGGGCAGCAGUGCCCAAUUGGAUGGAGGCUUGGAUGGAAUAAAAGGUGGAAGAACAAGAGAGCGGCAGCAGAUGCAAGCUCGAUUCUUCCUGAACGGGUUCUUGAUUGCUGCUGCGAUCCUCUGAGGAUGUAGGACUCCUGAUUCUUCACUCUUCCAAAGGGGACUCCACCAGUGAUUCUCCAGGGAAUUUCCAAAAGCCUUCAAUCUGGAACUGGGGUAGCACUCUUGAUCCUUCUUGUUCUGGGGCUUCAGCUUCUUGGACUGUGCAGCUACUGGUUCCUCCAGCUCUCCAGCCUGCAGACGGCCACUCUGGACUGUCCAGCUUCUGGUGAUAUGUUCCCUCUGCACAUAUCUGUGUCCUGGUGUCCUUUCAUAAGGACACAGUCAAGUUGGAGCAGAGCCCAACCCUGAAGACCUGUUUACAGUUAUCACCACCUCUGGCCCCGUCUCCACAUGAAGUCACGUGGGGAAUCAGGGCUUCAGAACGGAAGACUGGGGAGGACGUGAUCCAGCCAAGAGCAACAGGCAUGAUGCACUGUCCACGGAAUAAGAGGGCCUGUGUGGCAGGAUACCUCUAUUAUUAAAAUAUGCCUAUAAGUU